rnacentral:misc_RNA from 1 species
AAGUCGUAACAAGGUCUCCGUAGGUGAACCUGCGGAGGGAUCAUUUAUGAUGGAUGAUAUAAUAUUGAAUGAUAUUAUUGAAACAAUCAACUAAGGAUUUGAAUGGUAGAGUGGUAUGUAGAUGCAUGCAUGUACAUAUCCUUGUGGUUUUGUGAUGGUUGAAGAAUUCUAUUCUAAAUUGUUGCAUCACCUUUUGAACCAGUGAGCUGGACUGUAGUAUACAUUUAUACUUGAACCAAAAGUCAUUCUAUGGUAACGUUGUAACCGACGUUAUUUUAAAAACAUUACAACUUUUGGCAAUGGAUCUCUUGGUUCUC